GACGAACUCUGGCGGCGUGCUUAACACAUGCAAGUCGAACGGUAAGGCUCCAGCUUGCUGGGGUACACGAGUGGCGAACGGGUGAGUAACACGUGGGUGACCUGCCCUGCACUUCGGGAUAAGCCUGGGAAACUGGGUCUAAUACCGGAUAGGACCGCACCGUGAGGGUGUGGUGGAAAGUUUUUUCGGUGUGGGAUGGGCCCGCGGCCUAUCAGCUUGUUGGUGGGGUAAUGGCCUACCAAGGCGGCGACGGGUAGCCGGCCUGAGAGGGUGGACGGCCACAUUGGGACUGAGACACGGCCCAGACUCCUACGGGAGGCAGCAGUGGGGAAUACUGCACAAUGGGCGGAAGCCUGAUGCAGCGACGCCGCGUGGGGGAUGACGGCCUUCGGGUUGUAAACUCCUUUCACCAUCGACGAAGGGUUUCUGACGGUAGAUGGAGAAGAAGCACCGGCUAACUACGUGCCAGCAGCCGCGGUAAUACGUAGGGUGCGAGCGUUGUCCGGAAUUACUGGGCGUAAAGAGCUCGUAGGUGGUUUGUCGCGUCGUCUGUGAAAUUCCGGGGCUUAACUCCGGGCGUGCAGGCGAUACGGGCAUAACUUGAGUACUGUAGGGGAGACUGGAAUUCCUGGUGUAGCGGUGAAAUGCGCAGAUAUCAGGAGGAACACCGGUGGCGAAGGCGGGUCUCUGGGCAGUAACUGACGCUGAGGAGCGAAAGCAUGGGGAGCGAACAGGAUUAGAUACCCUGGUAGUCCAUGCCGUAAACGGUGGGCGCUAGGUGUGGGUUUCCUUCCACGGGAUCCGUGCCGUAGCUAACGCAUUAAGCGCCCCGCCUGGGGAGUACGGCCGCAAGGCUAAAACUCAAAGGAAUUGACGGGGGCCCGCACAAGCGGCGGAGCAUGUGGAUUAAUUCGAUGCAACGCGAAGAACCUUACCUGGGCUUGACAUAUACAGGAUCGCGCCAGAGAUGGUGUUUCCCUUGUGGCUUGUAUACAGGUGGUGCAUGGUUGUCGUCAGCUCGUGUCGUGAGAUGUUGGGUUAAGUCCCGCAACGAGCGCAACCCUUGUCUUAUGUUGCCAGCACGUUGUGGUGGGGACUCGUAAGAAACUGCCGGGGUUAACUCGGAGGAAGGUGGGGAUGACGUCAAAUCAUCAUGCCCCUUAUGUCCAGGGCUUCACACAUGCUACAAUGGUCGGUACAGUGGGUUGCCAGUCCGUGAGGGCGAGCUAAUCCCGCAAAGCCGGUCUCAGUUCGGAUCGGGGUCUGCAACUCGACCCCGUGAAGUCGGAGUCGCUAGUAAUCGCAGAUCAGCAACGCUGCGGUGAAUACGUUCCCGGGCCU
rnacentral:rRNA from 1 species